CCUACGGGUGGCAGCAGUGGGGAAUAUUGCACAAUGGGGGAAACCCUGAAGCAGCGACGCCGCGUGAGCGAGGAAGUAUCUCGGUAUGUAAAGCUCCAUUUGUAGGGACGAAAAAAGACGGUACCUGACCUAGAAGCCCCGGCUAACUACGUGCCAGCAGCCGCGGUAAUACGCAGGGGGCAAGCGUUAUCCGGAUAUACUGGGUGUAAAGGGAGCGUAGGCGGUAAGGCAAGCCAGAAGUGAAAGGGCAGGGCUCAACCCUGUACAUGCUUGUGAAACUGUGGGGCUAGAGUGCAGGAGAGGUAGGUGGAAUGCCUGGUGUAGCGGUGAAAUGCGUAGAUAUUAGGAAGAACACCGAUGGCGAAGGCAGCUUACUGGGCUGUAACUGACGUUGAGGCUCGAAAGCGUGGGGAGCAAACAGGAUUAGAUACCCUAGUAGUC
rnacentral:rRNA from 1 species